rnacentral:rRNA from 1 species
CCUACGGGAGGCAGCAGUGAGGAAUAUUGGUCAAUGGGCGCGAGCCUGAACCAGCCAAGUAGCGUGAAGGAUGACUGCCCUACGGGUUGUAAACUUCUUUUAUAUGGGAAUAAAAUGUUCCACGUGUGGGAUUUUGUAUGUACCAUAUGAAUAAGGAUCGGCUAACUCCGUGCCAGCAGCCGCGGUAAUACGGAGGAUCCGAGCGUUAUCCGGAUUUAUUGGGUUUAAAGGGUGCGUAGGCGGAUUGUUAAGUCAGUUGUGAAAGUUUGCGGCUCAACCGUAAAAUUGCAGUUGAAACUGGCAGUCUUGAGUAGAGGAGAGGUGGGCGGAAUUCGUGGUGUAGCGGUGAAAUGCUUAGAUAUCGCGAAGAACUCCGAUUGCGAAGGCAGCUCACUGGACUGCAACUGACGCUGAGGCUCGAAAGUGUGGGUAUCAAACAGGAUUAGAUACCCUUGUAGUC